CCACGCCGUAAACGAUGAUAACUAGCUGUCAGGGCCCUUAGGGUUUUGGUGGCGCAGCUAACGCAUUAAGUUAUCCGCCUGGGGAGUACGGCCGCAAGGUUAAAACUCAAAGAAAUUGACGGGGGCCUGCACAAGCGGUGGAGCAUGUGGUUUAAUUCGAAGCAACGCGCAGAACCUUACCAGCGUUUGACAUCCUCAUCGCGGAUUCCAGAGAUGGUUUCCUUCAGUUCGGCUGGAUGAGUGACAGGUGCUGCAUGGCUGU
rnacentral:rRNA from 1 species